rnacentral:rRNA from 1 species
GACGAACGCGGGCGGCGUGCCUAAUACAUGCAAGUAGAACGCUGAAGGAGGAGCUUGCUUCUCUGGAUGAGUUGCGAACGGGUGAGUAACGCGUAGGUAACCUGCCUGGUAGCGGGGGAUAACUAUUGGAAACGAUAGCUAAUACCGCAUAAUAGCAGUUAUUGCAUGAUAACUGUUUGAAAGGUGCAAUUGCACCACUACCAGAUGGACCUGCGUUGUAUUAGCUAGUUGGUGGGGUAACGGCUCACCAAGGCGACGAUACAUAGCCGACCUGGGAGGGUGAUCGGCCACACUGGGACUGAGACACGGCCCAGACUCCUACGGGAGGCAGCAGUAGGGAAUCUUCGGCAAUGGACGGAAGUCUGACCGAGCAACGCCGCGUGAGUGAAGAAGGUUUUCGGAUCGUAAAGCUCUGUUGUAAGAGAAGAAACGAGUGUGAGAGUGGAAA